AGCAGCCGCGGUAAUUCCAGCUCCAAUAGCGUAUAUUAAAGUUGUUGCAGUUAAAAAAGCUCGUAGUUGAAUUUCGGGAUCAGUAGGUCGGUCAUGCCUCAGGUAUGUACUGGUCUCACUGGUUCCUCCUUCCUGAUGAACCGUAAUGCCAUUAAUUUGGUGUUGCGGGGAAACUGGACUGUUACUUUGAAAAAUUAGAGUGUUUAAAGCAGGCUAACGCUUGAAUACAUUAGCAUGGAAUAAUGAAAUAGGACGUUCGAUCCUAUUUUGUUGGUUUCUAGGAUUGACGUAAUGAUUAAUAGGGAUAGUUGGGGCAUUAGUAUUCAAUUGUCAGAGGUGAAAUUCUUGGAUUUAUUGAAGACUAACU
rnacentral:rRNA from 1 species